rnacentral:rRNA from 1 species
GACGAACGCUGGCGGCGUGCUUAACACAUGCAAGUCGAACGGAAAGGCCUCUUUCGGGGGGUACUCGAGUGGCGAACGGGUGAGUAACACGUGAGUAACCUGCCCUUGACUUUGGGAUAACUUCAGGAAACUGGGGCUAAUACCGGAUAGGAGCUCCUGCUGCAUGGGGGGGGUUGGAAAGUUUCGGCGGUUGGGGAUGGACUCGCGGCUUAUCCGCUUGUUGGUGGGGUAGUGGCUUACCAAGGCUUUGACGGGUAGCCGGCCUGAGAGGGUGACCGGCCACAUUGGGACUGAGAUACGGCCCAGACUGCUACGGGAGGCAGCAGUGGGGAAUAUUGCACAAUGGGUGGAAGCCUGAUGCAGCAACGCCGUGUGCGGGAUGACGGCCUUCGGGUUGUAAACCGCUUUCGCUCAUGACGAAGCUUUGUGUGACGGUAGUGGGUAAAGAAGCACCGGCUAACUACGUG